rnacentral:rRNA from 1 species
UACGUAGGGAGCGAGCGUUGUCCGGAUUCAUUGGGCGUAAAGAGCUCGUAGGCGGCUUGGCAAGUCGGGUGUGAAAACUCCAGGCUCAACCUGGAGACGCCACCCGAUACUGCCAUGGCUAGAGUCCGGUAGGGGACCACGGAAUUCCUGGUGUAGCGGUGGAAUGCGCAGAUAUCAGGAGGAACACCGGUGGCGAAGGCGGGUCUCUGGGCCGUUACUGACGCUGAGGAGCGAAAGCGUGGGGAGCGAACAGG